rnacentral:rRNA from 1 species
CAGCAGUCGCCGCGGGAAUACAGAGGGUGCAAGCGUUAAUCGGAUUUACUGGGCGUAAAGGGCGCGUAGGUGGUUAUUUAAGUGAGAUGUGAAAGCCCCGGGCUUAACCUGGGAACUGCAUCUUAUACUGGGUAACUGGAGUGCAGUAGAGGGUAGUGGAAUUUCCGGUGUAGCGGUGAAAUGCGUAGAUAUCGGAAGGAACACCAGUGGCGAAGGCGGCUACCUGGACUGAGACUGACACUGAGGCGCGAGAGCGUGGGGAGCAAACAGGAUUAGAUACCCGAGUAGUCCCUGUCUCUUAUAC